GUAUGAUCAGAAUAGGAUCAGAGACACAAGGAAGAUUUAUUGAAGGGGUUGCUCCAGCAAAUAUUUUGGAAAAAGGACCCCAGGCAGAGAGAAAGGAGCCAGGUAACCUGCAGGUGUCGAAGGGCAGUAAGCCAACGUUGAACUGCCCUCAUUGUCAUUUUUCAGGCUGUUCUUAUUCUACUGGCUAGUUCAGAGCAGCCAUUAGAGCAAGAGGGAUGAAGAUCUUGGAUUUAUGAAAUGGAACAGAACUGUCUAAAACAAGCAAGGUUCCCAGACAACUGUCUCAGUGGUCUCAGCACUUACUUCUCUGAUGGAGGAGCAUCAUUCUUGAACUGCUAUUGUGAGUAAUGUGGAAUCAUGGGAGGAUUAUAAUCAUAUCUGCAUUUUAGAAAGAUAACCCUAUUAACAGGCUAUAUGGAAAUAUAUUUAAAACUCUUUUACUAUUAUGGUUGGGUAUUAACUUUGAAGUAGUGGGCAGUUUUUAUUCUAUAUUAUUUUCUUAAUCUUUUCAUCCAUCUCUCAUCUUGUUCCUUUGAGCAAGGUUAGUCUUUGCUCCUUGCUUCGGAGAAGGGGAAGUCCACAG
rnacentral:lncRNA from 1 species